ensembl:snoRNA
AUCCUUCUGUGGUUCACAGGCAUGACGUUUGGGUUUUCAUGCAUACGUGUGAGAUGUGCCUCCCUCAAGCCUUGUAACUUCAGCCCAUUAUCCAUCUGACA